GUGGGGAAUAUUGGACAAUGGGGGGAACCCUGAUCCAGCCAUGCCGCGUGUGUGAAGAAGGCCUUUUGGUUGUAAAGCACUUUAAGUUGGGAGGAAGGGCAGUAAGUUAAUACCUUGCUGUUUUGACGUUACCGACAGAAUAAGCACCGGCUAACUUCGUGCCAGCAGCCGCGGUAAUACGAAGGGUGCAAGCGUUAAUCGGAAUUACUGGGCGUAAAGCGCGCGUAGGUGGUUUUGUAAGUUGGAGGUGAAAUCCCCGGGCUCAACCUGGGAACUGCCUCCAAAACUACGGGGCUAGAGUACGGUAGAGGGUAGUGGAAUUUCCUGUGUAGCGGUGAAAUGCGUAGAUAUAGGAAGGAACACCAGUGGCGAAGGCGACUACCUGGACUGAUACUGACACUGAGGUGCGAAAGCGUGGGGAGCAAACAGGAUUAGAAACCCUUGUAGUCC
rnacentral:rRNA from 1 species